rnacentral:lncRNA from 1 species
UAUGACCCCGUGUGAGUUGGGACCCCACAGGCCAAGGGAAAGAAUUACUCCAUCUCUGUGUCUUUUAGAGCAUUUUGGAAGUGAUAAACCACAAAUGCUAACAAAGUGAGGUGAGACUUUUCUUCCUCUGGCAAUCAGGAGUUAGUAGUCUGUGUAAGACAAAAUGUGGCCUGAUCUCAGAUUUGGAUUGUGCUGUGCAUAAUUAUUUACAUUAGGCUUUGAAUGGUAGCUUAUCUAGAACACUAUUACUUUGUAAGUCUGUGUUAUCUUUGUAAGUGACAAAUACAUUGUACACACAGAACGUUUCUCACUUACGUAGUAUUA